AGUGAUAGUCACUCAUCCAUGUAAGGCAGCACAUGGGCCUGGAUCUUGUCCUUCUACUGCAGUAAAGCUAGCUGCAGGUUGGCUAAGAGCAGGAUUUAGACUGAGAUUACAUUUUUGUCCUUCAUCUUUUGAAUUUAACAUCUAUGAUCCCCACUGACCUGAACGUAGUGUGUCUUCUACAGAGCAUGCACUGGCUGCAAUUUGUGAAGAACAGCAGGGUAAACUUUUCUCCAUUACUUGGCUGGCAGUAGCUCUUAGCUUGUAGCAGGCUUGCCCACAAUUUCCCAGUCCUCCGGGAAAUUUCCCAGAGGGUUCUGACCCUCUGAGUUCAUUUAUGUCCUGAUGUUCAAGUUGUUUGAAGAAACUGGAGCAGUGUAAUAUUCUUCAUAGUUUGGACAAGAUUGCUCGGGCCUGACAUGAAUUCCUUGUUAUUAAAUGCUGUUACUUGUAAUUU